rnacentral:rRNA from 1 species
UACGUAGGGGGCAAGCGUUGUCCGGAUUUAUUGGGCGUAAAGAGCGUGUAGGCGGCUUGGCAAGUCCGUUGUGAAAACUCGAGGCUCAACCUCGAGACGUCGAUGGAAACUGCCUCGCUAGAGUCCGGAAGAGGAGAGUGGAAUUCCCAGUGUAGCGGUGAAAUGCGUAGAUAUUGGGAAGAACACCUGAGGCGAAGGCGGGUUGCUGGGCUGAUACUGACGCUGAGGCGCGAAAGCCAGGGGAGCAAACGGG